rnacentral:misc_RNA from 1 species
GAAAACAACAAUAAAGGUGGUUGGCUUUCGAUCGAAGGGCGCAGCGCUCAUCACACCAUAUCUUCGGUGAGCAAUCGAAGCACAACGAGAGACGACGAAAAAAAAGGGGGAUCAAAGACGACAUCAGGAUCGCAACAUUCCAGCAGCCACCAUCACCACCAUCACACACGUCAAACCCGCAUCACCCUGUGGCAGGCUCUGCGCGUACGACGUGUGUCCUCCUCGACCGCUCUCUUGCUUUCUGUUGUUGUGGGCUUUCUCCCUUGUGCGCUCUGGCAUCCUUUUAGCUGUGCUCACGACCCGUCUCUCAACUAGUCGUGGCCAAGCACAGUCGCACACGUACGAGAAAAUAACAUUCCAAAACAAAAAUAAAGAAACCAAUGGAGUCGGCUGCGCCGAGCAGCACCGUGACUGCCACGUCGCUGACGGCGUCGUCACCCUCCCUCUCAAAUCCUUUCCUGUGGGCCCACCACUACAUCACUAGCUUCAAGGGCGGCAAGCCACAUCAGUGGAUGUGCGCAUCACCCCACAUUCCGCUCCUGAUUGUUGUCGGCUAUUUUUUGCUCGUACAUGCCGGGCCGCGCGUGUUCUCACGCCUGCUCGGGGGCAAGCCGGUGCCGGGGCUGGCCCCCAUCGUCGCAAUUUGGAAUUUGUUCUUCAGCAUCGCAUCCACGAUCGGCUUCUGCUACUGUGCGCCGUUCCUGUUUCGUGUCUUGACCAUGACGAACCGCGAACUGCCGGGGCUCGCACCGAAGAAGGACCGCACAACGGGCGAGUGGGACCAGCACCCCCACGUGCGUGGGGGUCUGUUCACCUCUCUGUGCUACUGGAACCGCAACAUCUUCGAGGACGGCGCCACCGCCUUCUGGGUCCUCACCUUCAACCUGAGCAAGAUCGUUGAGCUGAUGGACACCGUGUUCCUGCUGCUCAGGCACAAGCCGGUCCCCUUCAUUCACUGGUACCACCACGCCUCCGUCAUGCUCUUCUGCUGGCACGCGCAUGUCUCCGGCAUCAGCAACGGACUGGGCUUCGCGGUGAUGAAUAUGUUGGUGCACUCCAUCAUGUACUUCUACUACUUCAUGUGCGCGUGCGGGCAGCGUAAGCUGGUGCGCCCCUUCGCGUCGAUGGUGACCCUUCUGCAGAUUGCGCAGAUGUUCGCUGGGAUGGCGCUCAUCCUGUACACGACGCGGCUGUACGUGACGCACCCCGGAGGCUGCGACACGAGCGCUUCGUCGCUGGCUUUCGGCACGGUCAUGUACCUCUCUUACAUUAUCCUCUUCGUCAAGCUUUUCCGAGACAACUACGUGCUGAAGAAGCGCGACGGUCGCGAGAGGCGGCGCGAUACGAAGGUGGGCUACUAGGGAGAGGAGCGACGAGCUGAACCCGAGGAGAGAGUCGGCACAACAGCACACCCGCCAGUGUGCGACUCACGGAAGCGCCCGAAGCAGCGGCAGCUCGCAUGCGUGCUUGUUUGUGUUUAGUUUGCACAUGGCAGCGAAAUGAAAAAAAGGCACAAGGAAGCGCAACGGUACAUGUCUCCUGCGGUGUUUCGACGGCUUCUUCUUUUUUCUCGUGUCCUAUUCCCCUCCCACAUCAUUGUUUUUGUUUUUGCUUCUUCUGUCUUGCUUUCGAGCGUAUGUGUACAGGCUGUGAUUUUGUUGUCUACGUCUAUAUAUAUAUAUGUGUGUGUGUGUAUAUGUGUACACAUAUAUGUAUGUGUUGAUGUCCAUGUGUACAUAUGUGCGUGUAUUUUUUAUUGUAUGCCUUGUUUCUGCCUAAAGGCUGUCUCUUCUUUCACUUUAUGCGCCUCCUCAUUCUUUCCCUCCCUCUCCGUUCGGGUUUGUUUUUCUGCGGCGGUGGCGCAUGAGGCGUGUGGUGUGCGUGCGAAUCGUGUCUGAGUGCGAGCCCUUUUUGUUUCCUCUGGCCCUUUAUCAGUGUUGCCAUCCCCUCGCUUCUUUGAGAGAGCGUAUGCGCGCUCCUGCCCAACGCUCAUGCUUGCGCAUGUCGGUGUCGCUGUUAUGCUCGUGGGAUGAUGCGGCUGCUAUGCAAGUGGCUCUCUUAUCACGGGUAUAUGUGCAUGUGUUUUCGUGUGUGCCGGCACCACGUCCUCUCCUUUAUCUCGCCCUCGCCCCCGUUUCUGCCCCCUCCCUCCCCACACACACAUGCAUAUACGUAUAUACGCAUACACCCUUAGCUCUGCAUCCUUCCUGUCCUUUCAUUCACGUCCACCACCACCUCUCCAUGUAGUCUUGUACUUACCUCUCCUCACCGCUUUUUGCUUUUUGUGUUUUGUUUUCAUUGAGGGUGGUGAAAAAAGAAAGCGCGUUGGUGUUUGGAGUCACGCGCGCAUGUGUGUGUGUGUGUGUGUGUGUGUGUGUGUGUUGUUGUUGUUGUUGUUGUUCUUUUUUUUUGGGGGGGUUGCUCGGAGGUGCUCAUUUCGGCUGUUGUUUGGAGGAGUUGGUUUCCUUUUUGUUCUCGCCCGUUGCUCUUGCGUUUUCAACUUUGAUGAGAUCGUAAAGCGGCAAAAGCAAGCGAGGGAGGGGGAGAGAGCAACGACGCACGCGGGGAGACGCCACGUAACAGAAUGAGAUAAUGGCCCCUUUUUUUCUCUGUCUACUGUCCUACGCGCGAUGAAAAGACCGAAGAGUGCCCCAGAGGACGGAAAGCGCAAGGAAAAGUGCGCGUCCGCGCUCUUUUUUUUUUCUUCGCUCUCUCCCACUUCUUUUUUUGCCCCUCUACUUAAAUUUCUGUGUGUCUGCUCUCUCUCUCUCCCUCCCACCCAUGGGACCGCUGAGUGCCGUCCGUUCUUUCCUUUUUUUUCCGCACAUAUGCAUAUAUACUCAUGUCUUGGUCUGGUGAGAAGGUCAACGAGAGCGUAAAAUGGGGUGGUGGUGGCAGUGCUGCCUGUGUCUGUGUGUGUGUCUUGGGUUGAAGUGGAGCGAAGGAGGUGCAUGGGUUGCAGUGUGAAGCCGUUUGUGGGUAUAACGACCUCCCUCCACCCGAGCCUCUCUUCACUCUCCUUAUCCCUAGCCCUUUGCCCCCCCCCUCCCCUCUCCCCUCUCUCCUCUCUCUGCCUCGCGUACCUUACUCACGAGGACACAGCAUCCGCGCUUGCGUAGAUCGGUGCGCAUCUCUGUACGCACGGGAGAAUGCGUUCGGUUUUUUAUCGUUUUUUUUUCUAUGAGCGGAUGGUGUGAGAGGACCGCCUGUGAACUUCUACUUUGCCGGUGUUGUUUAACGACAUGCCCGGAAGCAACGCGCGCACUUCUGGUUGGAAACUCCAAAUCGAGACGAGCACCGUCGACAAAUCGCAGAUCCC